GCCCUCUUAGCUCAGUUGGAUAGAGCAACAGACUUCUAAUCUGUAGGUCGCGCGUUCGAUUCGCGCAGAGGGCG
rnacentral:tRNA from 1 species